AUGCAAGUCGAGCGGAUGAUGGGAGCUUGCUCCCGGAUUCAGCGGCGGACGGGUGAGUAAUGCCUAGGAAUCUGCCUGGUAGUGGGGGACAACGUUUCGAAAGGAACGCUAAUACCGCAUACGUCCUACGGGAGAAAGCAGGGGACCUUCGGGCCUUGCGCUAUCAGAUGAGCCUAGGUCGGAUUAGCUAGUUGGUGGGGUAAAGGCCUACCAAGGCGACGAUCCGUAACUGGUCUGAGAGGAUGAUCAGUCACACUGGAACUGAGACACGGUCCAGACUCCUACGGGAGGCAGCAGUGGGGAAUAUUGGACAAUGGGCGAAAGCCUGAUCCAGCCAUGCCGCGUGUGUGAAGAAGGUCUUCGGAUUGUAAAGCACUUUAAGUUGGGAGGAAGGGCAGUAAGUUAAUACCUUGCUGUUUUGACGUUACCAACAGAAUAAGCACCGGCUAACUUCGUGCCAGCAGCCGCGGUAAUACGAAGGGUGCAAGCGUUAAUCGGAAUUACUGGGCGUAAAGCGCGCGUAGGUGGUUUGGUAAGAUGGAUGUGAAAUCCCCGGGCUCAACCUGGGAACUGCAUCCAUAACUGCCUGACUAGAGUACGGUAGAGGGUGGUGGAAUUUCCUGUGUAGCGGUGAAAUGCGUAGAUAUAGGAAGGAACACCAGUGGCGAAGGCGACCACCUGGACUGAUACUGACACUGAG
rnacentral:rRNA from 1 species